rnacentral:rRNA from 1 species
ACCACUGGCAUUGCCCAGUACGGCGAGUGAAGCGGCAAGAGCUCAAAUUUGAAAUCUGGCCUCCUUCGGGGGUCCGAGUUGUAAUUUGUAGAGGAUGCUUCGGGUGUGGCCGCCGUCUAAGUUCCUUGGAACAGGACGUCAGAGAGGGUGAGAAUCCCGUCUUGGGCGGCUGGUCCGCGCCCGUGUGAAGCUCCUUCGACGAGUCGAGUUGUUUGGGAAUGCAGCUCUAAGCGGGUGGUAAAUUUCAUCUAAAGCUAAAUACUGGUCGGAGACCGAUAGCGCACAAGUAGAGUGAUCGAAAGGUUAAAAGCACCUUGAAAAGGGAGUUAAACAGCACGUGAAAUUGUUGAAAGGGAAGCGCUUGCGGCCAGACUCGGGGGCGGGGUUCAGCGGGUGCUCGUCGCCCGUGCACUCCCCGUCUCCCGGGCCAGCAUCAGUUUCGACGGCCGGUCAAAGGCCCCCGGAAUGUGUCGUCUCUCGGGACGUCUUAUAGCCGGGGGUGCAAUGCGGCCCGUUGGGACUGAGGAACGCGCUUCGGCUCGGAUGCUGGCGUAAUGGCCGUAAGCGGCCCGUCUUGAAACCGGGACAAAAACGUCGUCAAUUAUCGAAAUGCAUUAAU